rnacentral:rRNA from 1 species
UACGAAGGGUGCAAGCGUUACUCGGAAUUACUGGGCGUAAAGCGUGCGUAGGCGGUUUUGUAAGUCUGUCGUGAAAGCCCCCGGGCUCAACCUGGGAAUUGCGAUGGAGACUGCAAGGCUUGAAUCUGGCAGAGGGGGGUAGAAUUCCACGUGUAGCAGUGAAAAUGCGUAGAGAUGUGGAGGAACACCGAUGGCGAAGGCAGCCCCCCUGGGUCAAGAUUGACGCUCAUGCACGAAAGCGUGGGGAGCAAACAGG